AUUGAACGCUGGCGGCAGGCCUAACACAUGCACGUCGAGCGAGCGGCGGACGGGUGAGUAAUGUAUGGGGACUGCCCGAUAGAGGGGGAUAACAACUGGAAACGGUAGCUAUUAUCGCAUAAUAUCGGAUAACACAUAUGGGAUUAGCUCGUAGGUGAGGUAAUGGCUCACCUAGGCGACGAUCUCUAGCUGGUCUGAGAGGAUGAUCAGCCACACUGGGACUCAGACACGGCCCAGACUCCGACGGAGGCAGCAGUGGGGAAUAUUGCACACUGGGCGCAAGCCUGCUGCAGCCAUGCCGCGUGUAUGAAGAAGGCCCUAGGGUUGUAAAGUACUUUCAGUCGGGAGGCGUUACCGACAGAAGAAGCACCGGCUAACUCCGUGCCAGCCGCCGCGGUAAUAC
rnacentral:rRNA from 1 species